CUUCCAUCUUGUUGAGCA
rnacentral:snRNA from 1 species